AGGGGUGUAGCUCAGUGGUAGAGCACUUGCCUAGCAUGUAGGAGGCCCUGAGUUCAAUCCCCAGCACCCCCA